ACCCGGCUGGCUCAGUUGGUAGAGCAUGUGACUCUUGAUCUCGGGGUUGUGAGUUUGAGCCCCACACUGGGUG
rnacentral:tRNA from 1 species